UUUUUUUUUUGCUUUUUAUGCUUAUGUAUCUUGUUCUCUUUGCUGCUUUGGCUCCAAAAAUGAGGUCAUCCACUUUCCAAUGGACAAGUUACAAAGUAUGACUUGAGGCCAGAUAAAUUUUAGAUAAGUAUUUUACCUCUUUUGUGACACUGGGUCUUGCUCUGUCCUCAGCGUUGUCCAUGCUGAAGUGUUGUACAUGCAGAGCACGGGAGAUGGCUCUUGAGUAUUACAGUAACAGUCAGUGUAAGGGGACUCCUGCCGUAUAGCCCCACCUAAUAUUGUUAACAUUGUGAAAUUUAAUUUUUAUUAUUUUUAAUAUCCAAGUUCUGGAAUAGUCUGAACUAGAAAUGUAUUGUCUUAUUCUUUUCUCAAGGUCUGAUUCCUUUUCUGCCAUAGUAUGGUCUGGUCUGCUAAGCUUCAGUGAUUUUGUCACCAGGUACAGAUCAUACAUUCACUCCUCAGAAACACUGAUAUAUAGUAGCUUUUACAGUUAGGAGAGGCACUGUUAGGUUUUUCUGUCUAUCUUCAUUUGGGAUAUGAAAUGAAACUGCCAUACUCAAUACUUAUAAUAUCUAGAAAUGUCUGGUGCUUCCUAUUAUUAACAUCACAAGAAACCAGGAGCAACUAUUAAUGAACUACAAAAUUCAGCAAAUCUUUCCUCAUACUUCUAGAAGAUUAAAUUAGUAAAAAUCUGGUAAUGCUUGUGCUUGCUAUUGUAAAUUUUUGCCAUUUUCGCUUUCUUUGAAGAAAAAGUAACCUGGAUCACACUGGAGGUUUCACUGUAUUCAAGAGUGGUAUGACUAUUUUAAGUUAUGUUUACACUUCAGUAAUAUUUGAAAAUGAAUGUAUAUAUUGAAAUGUCUAUAAGUCUCUGUCUUUGCCCAUAAUUUAUGAUCUAUUAUAUUGUAUUUUCUUAAAUGUCUUAGAAGUACUGUUCUUUAUUAUAACUUUAUUUGCAUACUUCAGUGUUUAGAUCAAAGUCAUACUGAUAAUGUUAAAAAUCAAAUUCUUAUUCCUCAAAUCAUUUAGUGUAUAUUAUAACCGUUUUGAUUUUUUAAGUUUAAUUGUAGUAAUUUAGGUCUAAAUGCAUUAUUUUAAUGUUACUACUUAAAACUGCUAAAAUUGUAAAAGGGACUUGAUUUGAUUGCCCAACAAUGAAAUAUAAACUGAUUGAUACAAGGGUAUGAAAACAAAGUGAAGGACCUCAGAUCUUGUGAGCAUUUUGUUUUACUAUUAUUUUUUUGACUAUAGUGCAUGGUGACUAAUUGAGGUUCUGGUGUCUUGCACAAUCCUCCUUUAAUGCUAGUACUUUUCAGUGUUCAUACACUUUAAUGCAAAAUUGUUAUUUCAUGAACCUUAAAGACUUUUCAGUUUUUUUUUUUCCUUAUCAGAAAAUGAACAAAAAGGGAUUAUCUGGUUACCGUGUACUAUAUUUUAGUAAGGGACAGCUCAGUAUGACUCUAACUAUAGCCAAAAGUGUUUUGGGGUAUGGGUGAUGUUUUGGAGGGAGGGGGUAUAAAUAGUGAGGCUAAGCUGUAGGUAACACUAUGGGAGCUGGAUCAGGAUUUCCACUAAAGAACUUUAUAACAGAUUACUGUGCUUAAGACCAUUUCCCUUAAAGUAACUCACAGUUAUGGAAUACUUCUCUUGUUCUUCACCCCUUCAGCGCCCCCCCCCACACACACACACAAUGAAUCAGAAGUGUCCUUCUGUAUUCAGUUAGGCCAGAAACCUGUCCCCACCUGCCAACAUCACACAGCCUCUUAACCACAGCAGUCAAUAAUUGCAGUAUGAUAGGUGCCAAUGCCAAACUCAGCUUUCAGUGGGCACAGAGUGGGAACAUCCACCUUGUGCGCAUUUGUUGUUGGGAACAAGGUAGCAGGAGGAAAAGUGAGAACCAAAUAGCCCUUCCCGCUGCCUGUGCCCCUAUAGUCAUUUAACCUGAAAUCCCCAAAUACCUCAGGUCCAACCUAGGAGACCUCCACAGGUCAUUUGACCUGGCAACUCACCCCAUGGCUUUCCCUGAGGACAAAGAAUUCUCACUGAAGUUCUUUGUGUAAUAGGAUUAACAUGUGCUUAAAGUUUACAUUGUAAACAACAACAAUAACAAAAAAGGUAAAUUAAAUGCACAUUUUUGUAGAUGUGCUAAUUCAUUUAUAAGUGUGGAAGAUUAGACUAAGCUUCAAGAGGAUAUUCAGUGUUUAACAAUAAUGUUCAAGAAAAUUCUGGAGGAAGGAGUCCCAACAAUUAUAAGAGAAACAUCUGCACUUUGAAUGUGUCACAGCCCUCUCAUUACAUUGAGAUAUUUAAGAAUUUUCAAAUGCCACUUGUCAUUAAAGGUACUCCCAACACAGCUGGAGUAGAGGGGCACUUCAUUUUGGUGGACAGUGGUCACAGAGCUUUGUGGCACCUGCUUUAAUGCAAAGGGUUCAUUGUUCUCUGAAGAAAAAAGGAAGAUGGAAAUGAAAAGCUCAGCUUUCCAUCUUUUUUAAUUUGCCUCUUUAACCCUGUGUGCAGUUAUAAAGCUAAGCCAUUAAGGAUAAAGUCCAUCAGUAAAAUGUCCAUGUCUUCUACCAGAACUCUUCUCAUGAUGGUAGGACAGGGGAGGGUACAUUCUCCAAAGAAAGUAGUGUUAGGGGAAAUUUGAAUGUGCUCAGUGAUUCACUCCUGAAAACCAGCCUGGGUCUGCUAGCAGAUUUUGUUUGCAUUUGUCUUGAGUAUUUAAAGUCUCAGGAAAUUUAGUCUUGAUCCAAAACACUGGGGAAAAAUUAACACCAAACAACACAUUUUCAUAACUUGAAGAAGCAGCGUAGAAUAGGCCUGAGAAGCUGGAGAGAAAAGAAAAAGCCUAAAGAAUAAAUUUUCCCCAAGAAGUGAAAACAAGAUCUAUUUAUGGUAGACAGAGGGUCUGACAAUAAACUGUGGGUUUAUUGAGAGAAUGAUUUUAACUUGAGGGUUCACAUAUGUGAGCAGCAUGAACCAAGCACCACUGUAACCUGUCUCCAGAUCCUCAAAGUUAGGGAGGAACAAAACAGGAUGCUUUCCAAUCCUUGGCCCUACCCAACCCCAAAGCACUAGGGAUUCAGCAGUGUUUAUGAGGUAAGGAACAGAGAACAAUAGACUACUCCACAACAUGCAUGCCACUGCAUAGGUAUUCAGAACUACAUCUGUGUGAAUCUAUCUUCCACCAUACCCAUAUAUAUGCAGCAAUUACAAGGCGUAAAAAAUACUGUAUGUGGAACUUGGUAAUGCCAGUUAGGAGCUAUAAUCAGAGCCUUAUUGCCACUUUUUGCUUGUCUAUACAUUGAAUGGCUCAUAGAUUUAAGAGGGUUUUUAUUUUAAUGUAGGUAUUCCUACUAAAUGCACUUACCUUUCUCUGUAUUUAUAUAUUUUGAUAAAAUUGAUUUAUUAAAUAUUUAGUAUUUUAGUAAGCUAAAAUCUUCUCAAAUGUUUGGUUAAUGCUUUGGUGUGGAGACUGCACUUUUUUCUUUUUCUUUUUCUUUUUUUUUUUUUUUUGUAGUAGAGCUCAGAAGACAUUUAUGUAGCUUUGGGCAUUUUCAACGGCAGACUACAGUUUUCUUGGCUAAAAGUUGCACUGUGUGUUCUUGUGCAUUGGCUCACACUUCCAAAAUGACAUAAUCUGUAGCUUUAGUCACUAACUACUGGUUCUCUGAUGGCAGUGUUGCCCUCACAUGACCAUUUAUUGACUUCUUGUGCCAAGUAAUGGCAUUUUGGUCAUCUCGUGCUGAUAAUGGCAUUUUGAUUGUCACCAAAAAUAAUACAGGUGGUUGUGAAUAUAUAUUGUUGGAAGAUGUACAUGUCUGUUUCUUUCAGCUCUUUUAUUCAUACAUCCAGGUUUUCUAUUAAGGAUGUGAUCAGUCGACUGUUCAUGAAAGAACAAUUGGCCAGAGAUAAUUAAAAGUGGGAAGACGCACUCCAGCUAGAUGACACCUCCCAACAACAUCAAACUGAGUUAGUGCUUGGUGAAAUUCCUUACAUACAUAUGCAGAUGCAUCCUUCAUUAUUAUUUGAUGUCACAACUACCGCUCUUGUAUUUUUAAUGGUGUUGCAGUCAAACCACUAAUACACCUGCUACAUAUUACAAAACUGGGCAGCUGAAAAAUGAAAGAUAAUAAAGUCUGUUCUCCUGUAAGAAUUUGAUUCAUUUUCAUCUUUCUUUAUAUAUCAAUAAGAAAAAGUUGUUUGAAAAUAAUUUUGAGUCCAGCAAGUGUGGGUAGCAUGUUACCUGAAACUUUUAAUUUGUACAUUUUGAUGUCUAUUCAUUUAUUUGCAUGGAAGAGACAAUUGUGCCAUGUCUGAAUUGUUCUCUUGUGCUUGGUUAAUAUGUACUGUUUCAAAUGACAUUCCUUACUCUUUGGUUUUCAGAGGCAUUCAAAGCAAAAUGUAACAGUGGUCCUUUGUUUUCUGACCAAUCUAAAAAUACCUGUGUUAAAUUUAAUUUGUUAGUGUAAAUAAAUUUCUUGCCAAUGAGUAUUAUUGUUGUUAAACAACGAAUGCAAUAAAAAGAGAAAUACUGAGAUCGGUCGCAUAAUUUUUUUCUUCUUCUUCCAUUUUCACCUUCGACUAAAACAAGCCUUGACUGGGUAAACCUGUAUUAACUGUCAAAACACAUAUAUCAAUCAAGAGCAAAGUGCACAUUUUUCAUGGAAAUGAAACUAAAAAUAACUCUGGUAAAGUGUAAAUUGGCAGCUAGAAUUACAUUUGAAAGCCCAAUUAUGGAACUGGGCAUAAAGUUAAAAGAGUGAAGCCUCCAGUCAAAGCUCCCUCGCCCAUCUUCCUGUUCCCCUGUCACGGCUUC
rnacentral:lncRNA from 1 species